rnacentral:rRNA from 1 species
AUACGGAGGGGGCUAGCGUUGUUCGGAAUUACUGGGCGUAAAGCGCGCGUAGGCGGCUGGGCAAGUCGGAUGUGAAAGCCCUCGGCUCAACCGAGGAACUGCGUCCGAUACUGCUCGGCUUGAGUUCGGUAGGGGGUGGCGGAAUUCCCGGUGUAGCGGUGGAAUGCGUAGAUAUCGGGAGGAACACCGAUGGCGAAGGCGGCCACAUGGGACGACACUGACGCUGAGGCGCGAAAGCUAGGGGAGCAAACAGGAUUAGAAACCCUUGUAGUCC